UACGAAGGGGGCUAGCGUUGCUCGGAAUCACUGGGCGUAAAAGGGUGCGUAGGCGGGUCUUUAAGUCAGGGGUGAAAUCCUGGAGCUCAACUCCAGAACUGCCUUUGAUACUGAAGAUCUUGAGUUCGGGAGAGGUGAGUGGAACUGCGAGUGUAGAGGUGAAAUUCGUAGAUAUUCGCAAGAACACCAGUGGCGAAGGCGACUCACUGGACACGUAUUGACGCUGAGGUGCGAAAGCGUGGGGAGCAAACA
rnacentral:rRNA from 1 species